GCGCCGAGCGUCCGGACGGCGGCCGGUAGCCGGGCGGUCCCGGGUUCGAAUCCCGGCGGCGCU
rnacentral:tRNA from 1 species